rnacentral:SRP_RNA from 1 species
GCCAGGCGUGGUGGUGUGCGCCUGUAAUCCCAGCUACUCAGGAGGCUGAGGCAGGAGAAUCGCUUGAACCCGGAAGGCAGAGGUUGCAGUGAGCAGAGAUUGUGCCACUGCACUCCAGCCUGGGUGACAGAGUGAGACUCUGUCUCAA